GUAAAAUGCUUUUCUAUUUGAAGUUUUUCUAGGUUUCAUUGUGUUCAAAUGUUACUAGGGAUUAAAAAUUCCAAUAAAAAAGAAUAGAAAGACCACAGAGGUUGCUGGUAAAUAACUCUCUGUGGAGUCUGGAGGAAGUGGUUAUUGUGAGGCCAGAUGACUGGCCUCCUAGAAUGCUGUUAUUAAUGAUCUGGGAGAGACUUUAAAAGCUAGGUAAUGAAAUUUCAAAGAUGCUAAAUGAAGGUGUUUCCAAUAUUGCACAAUCGGUCAAAUUAUGGAGCUGGGAAUUAGGAACCUGGGAUAUAAUUAUUUCCAAGGAUUUAAGCAGCAACAUUCGCAUCUAAGUGUGUGGAAAAUGAGGAUGAAAAGAACACUGCUGAUACUGCACUGUUGCGACCAGCUGAGAAGCAACAGCAGUGCUGGGAGUGGCGAGUGAGAAAGAAGGUGGAGGUAAAGGAACGAAUGCCACUUUAUAAGGAAAUAGUCUCUGUCACAGGACGUCCAUACAGUGAUCCAGUUUGUGUGUUACAUGAGGUUGCUGCAUCUAGCAAACCUCCAUUCCUUUUAUAGACAUCAUAGUUUAUGUAUUUAUUUCAACAAAUGACAAAAUAUAUUUCUCUGAAAAUGAGAGUAAAGCAACAGUUUCUUAGGGGGACAUAAAGUUUUAUGAGGAACAACCACCUUUUUCUAAUUUGCAAAGAAAUAAAUGGGGGGGGCAUUAAACA
rnacentral:lncRNA from 1 species